AGACUGCAGUUGUCUCUCUGCCUUUCAAGAUGGCUGCGCCACAGUGUUUCACUCAAUGCUCUCAGAGCGCACGAAAACACAGACUGCGCUUACCGUUGCUUUUCAUGCAUUGAAAAAAUUCCAUUCAAGCAAGAACAGUUGGCAAAAACUAAUUGAAAGUGCAAGUUGUGUUUGUUUGUGGGCUAGACAUUAUAAAUAAUAUUUGGUAGCUCAUAAAGAUAAAUUAUGAUUUACUGUGUUCAACGUGGUAACAACAGCAAAUCUGCAUUCAAAAACAAUAAAGCAAGCAUUUAAGUAUUGAGUAUUAAAUAAAUGCAAGGGAACACAUGGUAAGAAUUGAGCGCUCUCUUGUUCUAGCUUGCUGCGCCGCUGUGUUUCACUCAAUGUUCUGAGAGCGCGCGUAUGCAGCGACUGCGUUUACCGUUGCUUUUCAUGCAUUGAAAAAAUUCCAUUCAAGCAAGAACAGUUGGCAAAAACGAAUUGAAAGUGCAAAUUAUGUUUGUUCACGCGCAAGAUAUUACAAAUUCUAAUUGGCAACCAAUUAAAAUAGAGGAUGAUCCACUGUACUCAACGUUUAUUAAUAACAGCAAGUCUGCCUGCAAACAGUAACGCAAAUAUUUAGCAGAUGGCUGCGCCGCUGUGUCUCACUCAAUGUUCUGAGAGCGCACGUAUACACAACCUGCGUUUGCCGUUGCUUUUCAUGCAUCGAAAAAAUUCCAUUCAAGCAAGCACAGUUAGCAAAAACUAAUUGAAAGCGAAAGUCGUGUUUGUUCACGUGCAAGACAUUAAAAAUUCUAUUUGGAAGCUCAUUAAAAUAAAUGAUGAUCAACUGUGCUCAACGCGUGUAAACAGCAGCAAGUCUGCCAACAGAAACAACAACGAAGCAAACAUUGUUGAAAGCAAAGUGCACAAUAAUGAAAAGCGCCAACAAAAGGGCAACGGGUGCUGGUGUGGAGCAUACAAGGAGGAACAGAGUGGUACAAUUUUGGACACAAUGCCAAAACUGCAGUUGACUUUAUUAAAAUGCGCAACGUAAAUGUCUCGCAAAGCAGGACACGGCUAACGUUUUGUCCUUGCCGUGGGCUGGGCAUGAAUGACAUUCCCUCCGCUGGAGCAUAUACACUUUGUUGCCGUCUGCGUCUGCCACGUGUGUUGUUCCUGUUUAGAGGUUGAGCUAAGCGCCUGCGGUUGCCAUCGAGUCAAGUCUGGGAUUUGGAAUGCGCGAGCAUAAACAUGGGCGUCGCAACGAUUUAAUUCAGGGAGAAGGCGACAGCAGUUCCUACAACGGCGCUGAACUGGACUGGAACUGCCGGCGGCAAUAGCAACUAGUCCUACUCCUUCAUUAAGAGCCGCUCUAACCAGAGCUGCUAUUUAAAGGA